rnacentral:rRNA from 2 species
GGGAUACCACUUGGAAACAGGUGCUAAUACCGGAUAACAACAUGAAUCGCAUGAUUCAAGUUUGAAAGGCGGCGCAAGCUGUCACUUUAGGAUGAGCCCGCGGCGCAUUAGCUAGUUGGUGGGGUAAAGGCCUACCAAGGCAAUGAUGCGUAGCCGAGUUGAGAGACUGAUCGGCCACAUUGGGACUGAGACACGGCCCAAACUCCUACGGGAGGCAGCAGUAGGGAAUCUUCCACAAUGGACGCAAGUCUGAUGGAGCAACGCCGCGUGA